rnacentral:rRNA from 1 species
ACACGGCCCAGACUCCUACGGGAGGCAGCAGUGGGGAAUAUUGCACAAUGGGGGAAACCCUGAUGCAGCGACGCCGCGUGGAGGAAGAAGGUCUUCGGAUUGUAAACUCCUGUUGUUGAGGAAGAUAAUGACGGUACUCAACAAGGAAGUGACGGCUAACUACGUGCCAGCAGCCGCGGUAAAACGUAGGUCACAAGCGUUGUCCGGAAUUACUGGGUGUAAAGGGAGCGCAGGCGGGCGAUCAAGUUGGAAGUGAAAUCCAUGGGCUCAAUCCAUGAACUGCUUUCAAAACUGAUUGUCUUGAGUAGUGCAGAGGUAGGCGGAAUUCCCGGUGUAGCGGUGGAAUGCGUAGAUAUCGGGAGGAACACCAGUGGCGAAGGCGGCCUACUGGGCACCAACUGACGCUGAGGCUCGAAAGUGUGGGUAGCAAACAGGAUUAGAUACCCUGGUAGUCCACACCGUAAACGAUGAUUACUAGGUGUUGGAGGAUUUACCCCUUCAGUGCCGCAGUUAACACAAUAAGUAAUCCACCUGGGGAGUACGACCGCAAGGUUGCAACUCAAAUGAAUUGACGG